rnacentral:misc_RNA from 1 species
AACUCGUAACAAGGUUUCCGUAGGUGAAUGCGGAAGGAUCAUUAACACGUAUCCACGUUUAACCGCCCGUGCAUCUUCAUUUUAUACCGUCGUGUCAUGAAGCUUGCGAUGUUCUACUUUUGCCUUGCGGUUUCCGGUGUUGUGGACGACAAUCUAUCCGGGAGGCCCUUGUGGGGUGGUUAGCGAAGGAACCUCUGUCCAUGAGAAUGUGUCUCGGGGCAGGUUGUUCCAUUUGCCAGCUUGUCGAAUCUCGAUGUCAAAUUCCUGACUCGCAAAACCGCGUCCCAGUUGUUCUUACCCACCGCGUACCAAAAGUGACGCAAUUCAACCGUGCGCAGGCCAAAAGGCCAGCGUCGGAACCCGCACAACUGUUAACAAUGGAUCUUGGCUCUC